GCUUAACGCGAAGAACCUUACCAGCCCUUGACAUGGCAGGACGGUUUCCGGAGACGGAUUCCUUCACUUCGGUGACCUGCACACAGGUGCUGCAUGGCUGUCGUCAGCUCGUGUCGUGAGAUGUUGGGUUACGUCCCGCAACGAGCGCAACCCUCGCCUUUAGUUGCCAUCAUUUAGUUGGGCACUCUAGAGGGACUGCCGGUGAUAAGCCGGAGGAAGGUGGGGAUGACGUCAAGUCUUCAUGGCCCUUACGGGCUGGGCUACACACGUGCUACAAUGGCGGUGACAGAGGGCAGCUAGACCGCGAGGUCAUGCUAAUCCCUAAAAGCCGUCUCAGUUCGGAUUGCACUCUGCAACUCGAGUGCAUGAAGUUGGAAUCGCUAGUAAUCGCAGAUCAGCAUGUUGCGGUGAAUACGUUCCCGGGUCUUGUACACACCG
rnacentral:rRNA from 1 species